rnacentral:lncRNA from 1 species
UGCUGAGCACAACGCAGCUCCGCCCUCGCAAAGGCACAGCGCGGGCGCAGGCGCCCAGAGGCGCACAGGAGACCUCAGGCCCAGACUCCACUCCCCAGCUGUGAAAGGACUGCUGGCCAGACCCCCAAGCUAGCCCGCCAGGCCUCCAUAGAGCUGCCCAGCAUGGCUGCAUCCAGUACCAAGAGUUGGUGGGAGACGGGUGAGGUAUAGGCUCAGUCUGCGGCCAAGACUCCGUCCUGCAAGGAUAUUGUGGCUGGAGACAUGAGCAAGAAAAGCCUCUGGGAGCAGAAGGGAGGCUCCAAGACCUCAUCAACAAUUAAGAGCCAGCUCAAUCACUUCUCCAGAAAGACUUACUGAGUCCUCUGCACUGAACAGGUGUCCUGUGCUCCAGGAGAGCCCUGGGCUGGCUCCUAGUGUAGCCAUUAUGACCCUGGAAUGCACCAUCUUUCACAUCACUGCCUGGCCUUCUAGAAUCUCAGCUUCUUAAAUCAAGAAAUUGUGUCUUGUUCAUGUCUGAAUUCCCCAAGUGAACACACUGCAAACCACCCAAGGUGAAGUCAUCUUAGCCUCUUGGAGUCAGCCUGACUGGGGUGAACCCAUUGAUAUGUAUUGCAUAAAUGAACAUAUCAUGACAGUAGUGAUGAGGGAUCU